AUCUACUCCCCGUGUCUGCUGUGCCCACCACCACGGUGUUCAGUACUGACCAGCACAGCAGCAUCAGCAGAAUGAACCACGACAAUUAGUCAAGGUGGAUGCUGCCUGCCAGACCGUCCCCCCAGACUAUAAACUGUCCCUGGUGAUAUAUAGAACAUUAUGGACAUCAGAGAUAGAACAUUUUCAAUAUUGAUACUAUGUAGAAGCC